rnacentral:rRNA from 1 species
GGCAUGGCGGCAGCUACCAUGCAGUCGAGCGGAGAGAGGUAGCUUGCUACCGAUCUUAGCGGCGGACGGGUGAGUAAUGCUUAGGAAUCUGCCUAUUAGUGGGGGACAACAUUUCGAAAGGAAUGCUAAUACCGCAUACGUCCUACGGGAGAAAGCAGGGGAUCUUCGGACCUUGCGCUAAUAGAUGAGCCUAAGUCGGAUUAGCUAGUUGGUGGGGUAAAGGCCUACCAAGGCGACGAUCUGUAGCGGGUCUGAGAGGAUGAUCCGCCACACUGGGACUGAGACACGGCCCAGACUCCUACGGGAGGCAGCAGUGGGGAAUAUUGGACAAUGGGCGCAAGCCUGAUCCAGCCAUGCCGCGUGUGUGAAGAAGGCCUUAUGGUUGUAAAGCACUUUAAGCGAGGAGGAGGCUACUUUAGUUAAUACCUAGAGAUAGUGGACGUUACUCGCAGAAUAAGCACCGGCUAACUCUGUGCCAGCAGCCGCGGUAAUACAGAGGGUGCAAGCGUUAAUCGGAUUUACUGGGCGUAAAGCGCGCGUAGGCGGCUAAUUAAGUCAAAUGUGAAAUCCCCGAGCUUAACUUGGGAAUUGCAUUCGAUACUGGUUAGCUAGAGUGUGGGAGAGGAUGGUAGAAUUCCAGGUGUAGCGGUGAAAUGCGUAGAGAUCUGGAGGAAUACCGAUGGCGAAGGCAGCCAUCUGGCCUAACACUGACGCUGAGGUGCGAAAGCAUGGGGAGCAAACAGGAUUAGAUACCCUGGUAGUCCAUGCCGUAAACGAUGUCUACUAGCCGUUGGGGCCUUUGAGGCUUUAGUGGCGCAGCUAACGCGAUAAGUAGACCGCCUGGGGAGUACGGUCGCAAGACUAAAACUCAAAUGAAUUGACGGGGGCCCGCACAAGCGGUGGAGCAUGUGGUUUAAUUCGAUGCAACGCGAAGAACCUUACCUGGCCUUGACAUAGUAAGAACUUUCCAGAGAUGGAUUGGUGCCUUCGGGAACUUACAUACAGGUGCU